UACGAAGGGUGCAAGCGUUACUCGGAAUUACUGGGCGUAAAGCGUGCGUAGGUGGUUUGUUAAGUCUGAUGUGAAAGCCCUGGGCUCAACCUGGGAAUUGCAUUGGAUACUGGCAGGCUAGAGUGCGGUAGAGGGUAGUGGAAUUCCCGGUGUAGCAGUGAAAUGCGUAGAGAUCGGGAGGAACACCAGUGGCGAAGGCGGUUAGCUGGGCAGUUGCUGACACUGAGGCGCGACAGCGUGGGGAGCAAACAGG
rnacentral:rRNA from 1 species